GAUGAACGCUGGCGGCGUGCCUAAUACAUGCAAGUCGAGCGAACAGAUAAGGAGCUUGCUCCUUUGACGUUAGCGGCGGACGGGUGAGUAACACGUGGGUAACCUACCUAUAAGACUGGGAUAACUUCGGGAAACCGGAGCUAAUACCGGAUAAUAUUUCGAACCGCAUGGUUCGAUAGUGAAAGAUGGUUUUGCUAUCACUUAUAGAUGGACCCGCGCCGUAUUAGCUAGUUGGUAAGGUAACGGCUUACCAAGGCGACGAUACGUAGCCGACCUGAGAGGGUGAUCGGCCACACUGGAACUGAGACACGGUCCAGACCCCUACGGGAGGCAGCAGUAGGGAAUCUUCCGCAAUGGGCGAAAGCCUGACGGAGCAACGCCGAGUGAGUGAUGAAGGUCUUCGGAUCGUAAAACUCUGUUAUUAGGGAAGAACAUACGUGUAAGUAACUGUGCACGUCUUGACGGUACCUAAUCAGAAAGCCACGGCUAACUACGUG
rnacentral:rRNA from 1 species